UGUAACCGUUGGUUCCAAUGUUACUUGCUGGCUCCACCAUCAAUCCCAUUUUCCUCCCGAAAACAAUAGACCCUUUCCAUAACUUUAACUAGGAACUGUCCAAACUCACUGGUUGAUGAGUCACGAGUGAGGAGCGUUCCACUUUCAACUCAUACCAGGUCUCAAAAGCGUAUAUACCGGGGUAGUGUGAACAAGACCUAAAAAGAAACCCUAGGCAAAUUCAAGUACCAAUCCACAGAUGGCGCAUAGGUGAAACAUGGUUGCCAAAACACAACAUAAAACAUAGAUGUCAAAUCCAACCUCAGAGAAAGUGGAUUUCUUAUAAAAGGCUGGAUUUGACCAGAAUUUCCCUCUUUGUCCACAACUGAUUCCCAAAUAGUGUAGUGCGCGUAUUGUGUUAAUUCUAAUGGUCAGAACAAUAGACCACCGCAUGGUGAAACUUAUAUUAACUUUUGGUUUCUUUUCUUAAAUAAAAUAGGGUAAAACUUAAAAUACGGUUGUAAACGUUAAAAAAAAACUGUGUUAGUAAAAUGUGUUAGUGUUAAAAUGCUAUGAAACAGUUAGACAAAUAACAUCGAAAGAACAGAACACUAAAACAGGUUAAAACGCAAGAAAAAGGUAAAUUAUCAUUGUAAAGCUAUACUAAAAAUGUGUGAAUGCUAGAAACGACGUCACAAGGUGAUUAAUGUGGUGUGGUCAGGUCCAACGAAAAGGACCUUUUUCUUUUUGUGUAUUUUUGCAAGGCUCAAGGUGCAGCAGACGGAUCUUCCGUCAGCCCUGACAUCGCCGAUUUCCAGUGCCUAGCGGCGGCGCACCUUGGCGCAGCAACCGCCAUGUUGAAACCUCUGCCGACGUCAGAAGCCCGCCAUUUGUCGAAAAACUGCUAAUGUCAUCCAUUUGGCAGUUGGGAACCCUUCUUUGCGUCCGUUGGCAACCCGCUGGAGUUUCAUCUGGUCCGGCAAACCGCUGGCGAUUUAUUACAAGGCUUCUCAGCUACCAGUGACGCCCCCCCCUUUUCUCAAAGAUGGGCCACCACCGUCUGGCCCGAAUCCGCCGUGAGAUCAUCAUACCAAGAAUCACCAUGCCGGCAAAGGACGGAAAGAGGCACCCGGCGUACCUAACCUCAAUUCUUCUACCGUCAAAGGCUGGUAAGAGACCGCAACGUACCUGCCCAGACAUCCCGAUGAUCCGGAUCACAAUCAAAAGCAUGCAGAAUUCCGCAAGUAUUAUCACCCUAAUGUGACGUCAUAGGCUAGAAUAAACUGUUAUUUGUAAAAUGAA